rnacentral:rRNA from 1 species
GACGAACCGUGCGAACGUUGUUCGGAUUUACUGGGCGUAAAGGGCGCGUAGGCGGCAAUUCAAGUCAUCUGUGAAAUCUCCGGGCUUAACUCGGAAUGGUCAGGUGAUACUGCUUUGCUAGAGUGCAGAAGGGGCAAUCGGAAUUCUUGGUGUAGCGGUGAAAUGCGUAGAUAUCAAGAGGAACACCUGAGGUGAAGACGGGUUGCUGGGCUGACACGUGACGCUGGAGGCGCGAAAGCUAGGGAGCAACAGG